rnacentral:rRNA from 1 species
UACAGAGGUCCCAAGCGUUGUUCGGAUUCACUGGGCGUAAAGGGUGCGUAGGUGGCCAGGUAAGUUCGGUGUGAAAGCUCGGAGCUUAACUCCGAAAUGGCAUUGAAUACUAUCUGGCUAGAGGGUCGGAGGGGAGACUGGAAUUCUCGGUGUAGCAGUGAAAUGCGUAGAUAUCGAGAGGAACAUCAGUGGCGAAGGCGGUCUGCUGGGCCGUUGCUGACGCUGAGGCGCGACAGCGUGGGGAGCAAACAGG